rnacentral:misc_RNA from 1 species
GUGAAUCAUCGAAUCUUUGAACGCACAUUGCGCUUCUGGGUAUUCCCGGAAGCAUGCCCGUUUGAGAAUCAGUGAAAACAUCAGGCUCCCAAUACCCUAACAGGUGGAGGGAAUCCUGGACUUGGGUCCAUUUGUUCAAGGGGGUUAAACUGGAACAAUGACCUAAAAUGCAAUGUCCGCGGUUCCGCCGUAUGUGGAAGCGUUGGCCUGAGUGCUGGAACUGAACCUCUGGUUUAUCUCUGUACCACUCCUGGCUUGCUUCUAACGCGUCGUGCAUGCCGUGUAUUAAUCACAACUGAU